GGCCUAUUAAAGCAAGUUCAUGUUAAGCAUAAUAACUAUUUCCUAUUAUUAAAAUUGGUAGACUCAAAGAUACAAACCUGACCGAUAGUUUUUGAGGACUGAAGCAAGGAAUAUACAUCUUCUGGAAUCUUGUAUUUCCUGAAAAAGUUAAGUGUUGUAGCACUUGUCAAACAUUCAACAACGUUUCCAACAAAAGACAAAGUAAGAUAAAUUAUUUAAAAGGAAAAGGAAAAGUACUCCAAUGCCUCAAUGCUCUUUGAUAGAAAAAGUUCUUUCUCUUUCUCUUCCUGCACCAACAAAUAAGAAGUCAUCCACCUAACUCAACAAAUGAAGCAAAGCAAGUUGGUAUGAAUCAUCAAGACACAAGCAUUUAACCACAACUUCAUUCUUUAUAUGAUCAAAAGAAAAAAUCAAGGGCAAGAUUAAAGCAGUGCUAUCAUUGGCAUCCAAACUACACCACUACCAAGGGCAAGAUUAAAGCAUUGCUGUCACUAGCUUCCAAACUACAUAUGUAUGCAAACAGCAUUCUGUUAAUGUCUAUGCCAAUACUAAGAUAUCAAAAAACACUAGUUUUCUAUAACUUGGCAGAAAAUAAAUAGAGCAAAUUAAACAGUUCAUAUACCUCAAUGCAU